rnacentral:rRNA from 1 species
AUUGAACGCUGGCGGCAUGCCUUACACAUGCAAGUCGAACGGCAGCACGGGUGCUUGCACCUGGUGGCGAGUGGCGAACGGGUGAGUAAUACAUCGGAACAUGUCCUGUAGUGGGGGAUAGCCCGGCGAAAGCCGGAUUAAUACCGCAUACGAUCUACGUAUGAAAGCGGGGGACCUUCUGGCCUCGCGCUAUAGGGUUGGCCGAUGGCUGAUUAGCUAGUUGGUGGGGUAAAGGCCUACCAAGGCGACGAUCAGUAGCUGGUCUGAGAGGACGACCAGCCACACUGGGACUGAGACACGGCCCAGACUCCUACGGGAGGCAGCAGUGGGGAAUUUUGGACAAUGGGCGAAAGCCUGAUCCAGCAAUGCCGCGUGUGUGAAGAAGGCCUUCGGGUUGUAAAGCACUUUUGUCCGGAAAGAAAUCCUUGGCCCUAAUACGGUCGGGGGAUGACGGUACCGGAAGAAUAAGCACCGGCUAACUACGUG